CCAGACUCCUACGGGAGGCAGCAGUGGGGAAUAUUGCGCAAUGGGGGAAACCCUGAUGCAGCGACGCCGCGUGAAGGAAGAAGUAUUUCGGUAUGUAAACUUCUAUCAGCAGGGAAGAAAAUGACGGUACCUGACUAAGAAGCCCCGGCUAACUACGUGCCAGCAGCCGCGGUAAUACGUAGGGGGCAAGCGUUAUCCGGAUUUACUGGGUGUAAAGGGGGCGCAGACGGCAGCGCAAGCCAGGAGUGAAAGCCCGGGGCCCAACCCCGGGACUGCUCUUGGAACUGCGCGGCUGGAGUGCAGGAGGGGCAGGCGGAAUUCCUGGUGUAGCGGUGAAAUGCGUAGAUAUCAGGAGGAACACCAGUGGCGAAGGCGACUUUCUGGACUGUACCUGACGCUGAGGCGCGAAAGCGUGGGUAGCGAACGGGAUUAGAUACCCCCGUAA
rnacentral:rRNA from 1 species